rnacentral:sRNA from 1 species
UAACUUGUGACAGAAAUAUGUAAGAUUAUUACAAUGAACAGGCUUUAACUGAUUAAUAUUGUAAUGUGUUUUCUCUUAUAGUAAAAUGUAAGCGAUUACACAACUCAACUAUAUUUUCCUAAUAAUUAUAUUGUUAAGGAGGGCUACUUUGACAGGCUUUUCAGUGUAUUU